UGAAACUGAUUUGGGGGGAGUGGGGGUGGGCUGGUUGUGGGUGGAAAGCCAUCUCAGGCUCUACUGGGUAACGCACAGCAGUCUUUUCACACCAGAACACUCACCACACAUCUGCUGAGGUGGUGCGGGAGGGAUUUAUUUAGCCAAUUAAACUGUUGGAUGAUUAGAUGGCCAGAUUGAGAGAGCUGUUUCGGGACUUCAGCCGUUUCUCAAACCAAUUAAGAUGGCGCGAGUGCACGCACUGUAUCCAAGCGCGUCCGGAUUUCACCCAGCACUCUUCUUCUCCCCGUGAGCACUCGGAAAAAAAGGGGGCGGGGGAGAGAAUUCUCAUGGCGGGCAGCCAGCCUUCCCUCACUAUGAGAGUGAUGGAUGGAGAUAAAUCUCAGCGCGCGUUGUCCAACAGGCGCUAUGCACAAAACAAAAUAAAAAUACGACCUCCGACAGCCGUAUUUUUCUGAAAAACAAUUCCCACGCGGCUAUCGUUUCCGACCGCGGAUGAGCUGGAAACGCAAGGACGCCACGCUCCAUUUCCUGUUGUCCGCCAGGUGAGACCUUCGUAGAGCAGAUCAGGCGGAGGACCUUGCCGAAGGGCAAAGCCGUUCCGAGCGCCAGCUGGGAUUCAAACCUGCAGGCCCUCAGGGUCACUGGCCGGCCUCGGUCCUGGACCGCCGCUGCUAAAAGACGUGGCAGGGCAUUGUGCUGCACAGAUUCUCUGGCUGUUAUGUGGAUUGCUGAGAGGAACAAAGGUGGUCAGUUGAGCUGUUCGUGCGUUGGAGGACACGAGUACUGGAGUAUGGCCCUUCAGAACCAUCUGAGAACAGUACGAGUUUGAUCAUGAAUCUGACGCCAAACCCUUUUUUGCCGUUCAGAAACAAAUGCUCUCCUCUUCUGACUUGACUGCACCGCAUUUGUUUUGGAUCCAUUGCAUUAUACAUCAUCCUCUUCAAUACCAGGAUCAGGAUACUGCUAAAACCAUCAAAGAGUCGAGUGAUUUCGUCUCUGCAGGGAAAUUGAUGUUUUUGUCUCUUUCCCUUUUUUGGGAGAGCGUUUCCUUUUCCCUUGUGAGGGAAUGAGUCACCCAUGGCAUUCCUGCCAUCCUGUCCAGAGGUUUCCUGACUCGUCUUUCCCCAUUUCUUUGAUCAUUUGCAAAACAGGCGUGGCACACAAUGUCCUGCUGCCCACAAUGUUCUCGAGGACCAAUUGACAACUGUGGUUUACUGUUCCCUUUUUCAAAAGUGUUUUUCAUUAUAACUGCUGAAACAGCUUCCAGAAGGGAACCCCUAAUUGCUCUGGUGAAUGCGAGGCAUCAAUUGUAAAGGGCUUUGGAUUAAAGCGCUAUAUAAAUACA